CAGCUGCUCUGUGGACUCCCAUGUGGGCAGAGCUGGGCUUUGCCUGGCUGUUGUCGAGCUGAGGGAAUCAUAGGGGUCGGUGGCAGGAGCCAUAGGUCCUAGGAAUGCAUGGCUGGGCAGCCUCUUGUAAUGGAAUGGGGUGAUGGUGGAGUCUGGAGCCCACUGUGCCAUGGGCCUUGGAUGCUGGCCCUGCUUCUUCUGGACACUGAGUUUGGGUCCUUACUGAUAUGGGUUCAACUUUGUGGGUUCAUCCACAAGUAUUAAUCCAGAGUUGUGUGUCCAGCACAGUGCUAGAAGCACAGAAGUGUGAGAGGGGACCUUCAUUAUUGUCUCUUUGAGGUGUAAGACUAGUGCAUGUCAAAACACUCACUUAUUUGUAGGUGAAUACUUAUCUGCCCAGUAACUGUUCAGGGUAGCAAAUUAUUGAGUCCUAAAUUGUCUUGACGGAAAUAUUGUUAGAGACCUGAAAAGAGAGGGAGCCCUGGGAUGGUCAGAGCUUGGCUCUGAAUGAUAGAAAUAUGGGCAAGGUGGGGACAAUGGGGAUAGAAGAACAGCAUGAACAAAGGCAGGGAGAAUGGGUGGGCGUCCUCCUAAGUGCAGAUGACAGUGGAGCCCCUUCUCCCCUUCCCACUUCCUGAAAUAGUCCUAAAGACUCUUACUCCUUGGACAACACAGAACCAGCUCCUGGGUUCCUCCUCUUCUCCUUUUUAUUGUUAUGAUGCCAGAGAUUCCUAACGUUCAUUGAUCACUUGCUGCGCACGACUGUUCUUUGUGCUUUACAUGGACUUUCUCGUGACGCCUUCACAACCACCAACUGAGAUAACUGCUCUGUGUUAGUGGGUGCAUUUUAGAGUCAGUACAGUGAGGUCAGAAAGCUACAUAACUUGGUUGUGGUGACAGUAAGGAAAUGGUGGUUGUAUCCCGAGUGCACAUGGCAUGUCCUACAAGUAGAACUCCAAGUAAGCAGAGGCCCAUACUCAACCCACUUGUUCCCAAAUGUGUGUUCACAGUAGAAUCACUUGGGGAUCUUUUAAAAUUGACAUGGUUCAGGCCAGUUACAUUGUAGUCUUUGGCAGGGCGUGGGGGGCACAUGAGAUCAGUGUUUUGGAAGCUUUCCUGGGUAAUUCCAGGUUAAGACAUAAGAGGUAAAGAGCUGGUUCCUCUUAACCUCUUAUUUUUUGGGGCCUCUGAAUAUUUUACUGAAUACUUUCUAUUCUCAGAGCACUGUAGAGGGCCCUUUCUCCAGCCUUGUCCUGAGGCUGCCACUCUGCCACAUGGUAUCUGAGGGAGCAGGACCCCUCCCACCCCACAGCAUCACUGACUUCUAGACAGUGAAUCCUGGGUGCAGAGGAGUGGGCAGAGAAGGGUGGUCUUCCAGUAUCGGUGGCCACUUUUCCUUCUGAAUGCCAUCUUGGGGGUAGAGCCUGCUUUCAGAGCCCAGGAGACCUCCGACUGUGCUUUCUCAUGUCUUAUGCUCUCCUGGGCCCUUGACUUCAGUGGAGAAGGGAGAGGGUCACACGAGGGCAGAUCUCUUCUUGACAAGUCCCGUUCCUCUCCGUCUGUCCCCAGCUGAACCUGAAAUGGACACGAAGAGCAGCGUCGUUUGGGUGGCUGGGAACAGCACUAAAUUUAGCAAAACUGUAGCUGGUGGGGGGCCGGCCUGGAGUGAGCCAAACCCAGCCCCGAGUAGACUAGAUUUAUAGUCAGCAACGCAGUCAGUGUUGUCUCUGCUUGGGCAAGUUCAAGAUUACACAGGAUCUUUCAGUUUCCAAAGCCCGGAAGCUUGUCAGCCUGUCCUGCAGGCCUCCCUGGCCCUGCGCCUGCCUCUUGGAGACGUGGCUCUGCGCACACCACUGAUGAUGCCCACUGGGUUCUGGGUUUCCAUCUGUCCAUCUGUGCCUCCCUUGUAUAUAUUGGAUCUCACUUCAUCUUGGUCUGCAGAUUCAUGCCUUUUGGCCUGUAUUGCUAGCCUUG
rnacentral:lncRNA from 1 species